rnacentral:rRNA from 1 species
AGAGUUUGAUCCUGGCUCAGGAUGAACGCUAGCGAUAGGCUUAACACAUGCAAGUCGAGGGGCAGCGCGAGGUAGCAAUACUUUGGCGGCGACCGGCGCACGGGUGCGUAACACGUAUGUAACUUACCUCUUACAAUCGGAUAACACGGUGAAAGUCGUGCUAAUACGGUAUAGUUUCGCAAGCUCGCAUGGGCAUGCGAAUAAAGAUUCAUCGGUAAGAGAUAGACAUGCGGUCCAUUAGAUAGUUGGUGAGGUAACGGCUCACCAAGUCGACGAUGGAUAGGGGGACUGAGAGGUUGACCCCCCACACUGGUACUGAGACACGGACCAGACUCCUACGGGAGGCAGCAGUGAGGAAUAUUGGUCAAUGGGCGAGAGCCUGAACCAGCCAAGUCGCGUGAAGGAAGACGGUUCAUAAGGAUUGUAAACUUCUUUUGCAGAGGAGUAACGAUAGGCACGUGUGCCUGUGUGAACGUACUCUGCGAAUAAGUAUCGGCUAACUCCGUGCCAGCAGCCGCGGUAAUACGGAGGAUACGAGCGUUAUCCGGAAUUAUUGGGUUUAAAGGGUGCGUAGGUGGCUAUUUAAGUCAGGGGUGAAAAGCAUGAGCUCAACUCAUGUCUUGCCUUUGAAACUGGACAGCUAGAGAAAAGACGAGGUAUGUGGAAUGUGUGGUGUAGCGGUGAAAUGCAUAGAUAUCACACAGAACUCCGAUUGCGCAGGCAGCGUACCAGACUUCUUCUGACACUGAAGCACGAAAGCGUGGGGAUCAAACAGGAUUAGAUACCCUGGUAGUCCACGCAGUAAACGAUGAAUACUAGUUUUUUGCGAUAUAAUGUAAGAGACUAAGCGAAAGCGAUAAGUAUUCCACCUGGGGAGUACGCCGGCAACGGUGAAACUCAAAGGAAUUGACGGGGGCCCGCACAAGCGGAGGAACAUGUGGUUUAAUUCGAU